rnacentral:rRNA from 1 species
CUUCUUUUUCACCGGAGCUUGCUCCACCGGAAAAAGAAGAGUGGCGAACGGGUGAGUAACACGUGGGUAACCUGCCCAUCAGAAGGGGAUAACACUUGGAAACAGGUGCUAAUACCGUAUAACAAUCAAAACCGCAUGGUUUUGAUUUGAAAGGCGCUUUCGGGUGUCGCUGAUGGAUGGACCCGCGGUGCAUUAGCUAGUUGGUGAGGUAACGGCUCACCAAGGCCACGAUGCAUAGCCGACCUGAGAGGGUGAUCGGCCACAUUGGGACUGAGACACGGCCCAAACUCCUACGGGAGGCAGCAGUAGGGAAUCUUCGGCAAUGGACGAAAGUCUGACCGAGCAACGCCGCGUGAGUGAAGAAGGUUUUCGGAUCGUAAAACUCUGUUGUUAGAGAAGAACAAGGAUGAGAGUAACUGUUCAUCCCUUGACGGUAUCUAACCAGAAAGCCACGGCUAACUACGUGCCAGCAGCCGCGGUAAUACGUAGGUGGCAAGCGUUGUCCGGAUUUAUUGGGCGUAAAGCGAGCGCAGGCGGUUUCUUAAGUCUGAUGUGAAAGCCCCCGGCUCAACCGGGGAGGGUCAUUGGAAACUGGGAGACUUGAGUGCAGAAGAGGAGAGUGGAAUUCCAUGUGUAGCGGUGAAAUGCGUAGAUAUAUGGAGGAACACCAGUGGCGAAGGCGGCUCUCUGGUCUGUAACUGACGCUGAGGCUCGAAAGCGUGGGGAGCAAACAGGAUUAGAUACCCUGGUAGUCCACGCCGUAAACGAUGAGUGCUAAGUGUUGGAGGGUUUCCGCCCUUCAGUGCUGCAGCUAACGCAUUAAGCACUCCGCCUGGGGAGUACGACCGCAAGGUUGAAACUCAAAGGAAUUGACGGGGGCCCGCACAAGCGGUGGAGCAUGUGGUUUAAUUCGAAGCAACGCGAAGAACCUUACCAGGUCUUGACAUCCUUUGACCACUCUAGAGAUAGAGCUUCCCCUUCGGGGGCAAAGUGACAGGUGGUGCAUGGUUGUCGUCAGCUCGUGUCGUGAGAUGUUGGGUUAAGUCCCGCAACGAGCGCAACCCUUAUUGUUAGUUGCCAUCAUUCAGUUGGC